UAAAGAUUCAUCGCUGAUAGAUAGGCAUGCGUUCCAUUAGGCAGUUGGCGGGGUAACGGCCCACCAAACCGACGAUGGAUAGGGGUUCUGAGAGGAAGGUCCCCCACAUUGGUACUGAGACACGGACCAAACUCCUACGGGAGGCAGCAGUGAGGAAUAUUGGUCAAUGGGCGUAAGCCUGAACCAGCCAAGUCGCGUGAGGGAUGAAGGUUCUAUGGAUCGUAAACCUCUUUUAUAAGGGAAUAAAGUGCGGGACGUGUCCCGUUUUGUAUGUACCUUAUGAAUAAGGAUCGGCUAACUCCGUGCCAGCAGCCGCGGUAAUACGGAGGAUCCGAGCGUUAUCCGGAUUUAUUGGGUUUAAAGGGUGCGUAGGCGGCCUUUUAAGUCAGCGGUGAAAGUCUGUGGCUCAACCAUAGAAUUGCCGUUGAAACUGGGAGGCUUGAGUAUGUUUGAGGCAGGCGGAAUGCGUGGUGUAGCGGUGAAAUGCUUAGAUAUCACGCAGAACCCCGAUUGCGAAGGCAGCCUGCCAAGCCAUGACUGACGCUGAUGCACGAAAGCGUGGGGAUCAAACAGGAUUAGAUACCCUGGUAGUCCAC
rnacentral:rRNA from 1 species